rnacentral:rRNA from 1 species
UGGGGAAUAUUGCACAAUGGGCGCAAGCCUGAUGCAGCCAUGCCGCGUGUAUGAAGAAGGCCUUCGGGUUGUAAAGUACUUUCAGCGAGGAGGAAGGCGUUGUGGUUAAUAACCGCAACAAUUGACGUUACUCGCAGAAGAAGCACCGGCUAACUCCGUGCCAGCAGCCGCGGUAAUACGGAGGGUGCAAGCGUUAAUCGGAAUUACUGGGCGUAAAGCGCACGCAGGCGGUCUGUCAAGUCGGAUGUGAAAUCCCCGGGCUCAACCUGGGAACUGCAUCCGAAACUGGCAGGCUAGAGUCUUGUAGAGGGGGGUAGAAUUCCAGGUGUAGCGGUGAAAUGCGUAGAGAUCUGGAGGAAUACCGGUGGCGAAGGCGGCCCCCUGGACAAAGACUGACGCUCAGGUGCGAAAGCGUGGGGAGCAAACA